AGUGAACGCUGGCGGUAGGCCUAACACAUGCAAGUCGAACGGCAGCACAGUAAGAGCUUGCUCUUACGGGUGGCGAGUGGCGGACGGGUGAGGAAUACAUCGGAAUCUACUUUUUCGUGGGGGAUAACGUAGGGAAACUACGCUAAUAACGCAUACGACCUACGGGUGAAAGCAGGGGAUCUUCGGACCUUGCGCGAUUGAAUGAGCCGAUGUCGGAUUAGCUAGUUGGCGGGGUAAAGGCCCACCAAGGCGACGAUCCGUAGCUGGUCUGAGAGGAUGAUCAGCCACACUGGAACUGAGACACGGUCCAGACUCCUACGGGAGGCAGCAGUGGGGAAUAUUGGACAAUGGGCGCAAGCCUGAUCCAGCCAUACCGCGUGGGUGAAGAAGGCCUUCGGGUUGUAAAGCCCUUUUGUUGGGAAAGAAAAGCAGCAGGUUAAUACCCCGCUGUUCUGACGGUACCCAAAGAAUAAGCACCGGCUAACUUCGUG
rnacentral:rRNA from 1 species